rnacentral:rRNA from 1 species
CCUACGGGAGGCAGCAGUAGGGAAUCUUCCACAAUGGGCGAAAGCCUGAUGGAGCAACGCCGCGUGGAUGAAGAAGGUCUUCGGAUCGUAAAACUCUGUUGUUACAGAAGAAAGUGCGUGAGAGUAACUGUUCACGUUUCGACUGUAUCUAACCGGAAAGCCACGGCUAACUCCAUGCCAGCAGCCGCGGUAAUACGUAGGUGGCAAGCGUUAUCUGGAUUUAAUGGGAGUAAAGGGAACGGAGGCGGUCUUUUAAGUCUGAUGUGAAAGCCUUCGGCUUAACCGGAGUAGUGCAUUGGAAACUGGGAGACUUGAGUGCAGAAGAGGAGGGUGGAACUCAAUGUGUAGCGGUGAAAUGCGUAGAUAU